rnacentral:misc_RNA from 1 species
AACGCACCUUGCGCUCCCUGGUAUUCCGGGGAGCACGCCUGUUCGAGUGUCGUGAAAUACCUCAAGCUGGAUGCUUUGUUGCUAUCUUGGCUUGGAUUUGGAUUUUGCCGCGCAUGACUUAUGGUUGUGGCGGCUGGUCUUAAAUGCAUUAGCUGACCCAUGAUGUAUCUUUGGUUCUACUCGGCGUGAUAAGUUAUGACCGCUGAGGACAUCUGCUUUUGGGCGGAUGGCCAGGAGUGCCUUGGAUCGCUUCCAAUCUGUCUGUCCUUUGCGGCGACAACCUUUCAACAUUGGCCUCGAAUCAGGUGGGACUACCCGCUGAACUUAA